AAUAUGUCUGAUAACGAAGUGGAGGGAAAGGAACUGGGAAGAGCGCGCGCUGUACAACGCAGCAGCAGUAUGUUAGACGCAGGCCGUCCUCGUGCUACAAUAAAAGAGGCUACAAGAGAGUAGCGGAAAAUGACCUACAUAAAAUCAUAUUUUAAAACAAACAUAAACUGACGAAACCUGUAGGAAUAUAUUAUUAGAGGCGGAGCGCAAAUUAGUGGUCUCCUGCCGUCUCCUUUUCCAAUUGUCCUGACAGUCAUAGUGCACCGGUGGAAGAAAAAGAAAAACUAUGAGGAGGAGCAAAAUGAAGAGGAUCACCCGCUAAAACCGGUUCAGGCGGUUCGAGAGUGACGCUCCUUUCCGAACGCCUCAGCGUUUUUAGUUUCAUCCUCAGCGAAGCGGAGAGCCAGCUGGGUAAAGGAGGGAGUCAAACGGACCUGGAUGACUGCCCGCUGUCCUCCAACUCAUUCACCCUAGUCCUCCCAUGACUGUGUCAGACACGGAGACCCAGUAGGAGAUGGACACAAGCCACCAUUCAUUUCCUAAAUCUCGUCGUACAUGCUGCUUGGACCAUGGACACAUUCUCCCUGGCACCUCUCAGGAUAUGGGCAUUAGUGAUUAAAGAGGUCAAUUACAUGGCUUCACGAGGAAGAAUAAGACCAAUCAGGUAGAGCCCAGUUCUGUAAAGGUGAAGGACCUUCUCCAGAUGGACCAGAGUCUCAUCUACUCCCCAGAUGAGCUCCCCUGUAAAGAAGACAACAGACACACAGAAAAUAUGGCAUGCAUACAAGAAUGUACUCGACAGAAUAACUCGGCAUGAACAGGACAGCAAACUAGCACACCGCGAUGGUCCGAUAAUGGCGUGCAUAGCAUGCAAUGAGACACAACCCGUUUGCCCUUCAGUCACAAAUACAGAGUAGGGGGUAGUCCAAACAUUCCCUGACUUAAUUCAUAGCUGUUUUAGUUUGUCAUGAAGGUGUAGGGAGGAAGCAGGCCAGCUCAGAGACCAUGUCAUCGUGGGGGGUAGUUGGGAGUAUGAGCAAGUCGUCUCUGAGCGCCCUCAGCAGGUGAGAUAAGAUCGCCCACCCAUGCAGACAGCCCCCCGUUCCUUCACGGCCUGUUGUCUCCAAGAAAAACA